rnacentral:lncRNA from 12 species
CCAGGUUUACCCUGGACAGGGGACUAAACUUUUACAAACACUAGGAGUAUUACUUAGGCAACACGCAGAUAACCCACAGGAACCAUAACGAGAGGGUGAAAUGAGUAUACAAGGUGAAAUUCUGUCCAUUCUCAUAAUCCAUGCUCCUGGAACCGUUUGGCCUUUCCUGUAGAGAAGCACAUGCUCUGAUUUGCCUCCUGGAUGAGGGAAGCCCAGAACAGGUGUCUCACUCCACGUUGCUGUCACAGCAAUGCCGCGUUGCUCGCACCUCGUGCCUCCCACACAAACGAUCUCACAAACAGCCCUGUGCCGAUGCAGCUUCUGCACCCAAGCUGUGUUACCCACAAGUACUAGGAAUGCCUCUGCAAUGCACUGUGCUCUGCAGGUCUGCUACAAAUUUAAUGGAUAGGAAGAGAGCAGAGGAGGGGGAUGAUGCAGAGGAGGAACAAAGGAGCUGGAGCCUUUCCGCCCCCUCUGUCAUCAGCACCAUCCUCCUCCACAAGCACUUUGUGGACUGCACACCUGCCUAUGCCCACGCCACAGUCACCAACACAGCAGCUACGGCUGGACCCGGCUGUUGAAGCCUGGCUUACAGCCAUCAGCUUCCCUUCAACAGCAAUCACUCAUGAUGAACUGUCUCAACAUCCCACACAAAUUUUAAGGGAAAAUUGUAAAGUCCAGACACAGUUGAAUGAGUCCUGUGUGCCGUUUGGUUCUUCUGAUUUACCAAAUAAGAUUUAUUGGAGCCAGAUCCAGCCACAUACAGCAGCUCCGUCAUAGUAGCAGUGUAGAAGGAACAGCUCCUAAACCUUCCCAGCCUCGGGAGCAGUGCACGGGGGGCACUGGGUCUGGAUGGCAUCUUGGCAUGGCAGGCUGCCAUCUCUGUGCUGCCCGAGUGACAGAACAGCCGUAUCCCUCCUGGGCGCAGCAGAGCCCCUCUCGAACUUCCCUCUUAGCUUGUGUAGAUGACGCUGUUCCGGAGCAACGUGAAUAUAGACCAUACUCCCGAUCCCUCCUGGGCGCAGCAGAGCCCCUCUCGAACUUCCCUCUUAGCUUGUGUAGAUGACGCUGUUCCGGAGCAACGUGAAUAUAGACCAUACUCCCGAUCCGAGGGAGUGAAGCGCGCUGGAGGUGGCCCCCGAGUGCUUUUCUGAGCGAUAAAAAACAUGCAGCGAGAUCGAAAUGAUAGAAAACUGCAUCUCCUCCAGAGAGGACGAUCAAAGAAAUCCAGCGGAGCUGCUGGUCAUUCUGCCUGCCUGAGAUGGAUGAUGUCUCCCAAAACCACGCCAGAGAAGAAGACUGAGGUGCGGGGCUGUGGAGGCUGCGGGUGACCCCGGGCCCGCGGCAUCCCCGCGGGGCGCUGACGGAGCGCGGCCCGCAGGGGGCGCCCCAGCCCUGCGCCUGUGGGACCAUGAGGCUGGGACUCGUGGGGAAAAUCUUAAAGCUCGCUAAUCCAGAGAAGGCAGGAGAAGAUGUAACAAUGUUUAAACAGGUGAAGGCUGCUGCAAAGAGAAAGUUUGUCCUCCCGUCUCACAGAGCACGAGCUACUGGGCUUGGAUACAAACAAACACCAGUUUAGGUCAGAAACUUGAAUAACAUUUCUAAUGUUCAAGGUUUUUUGUUUUGGGUGGUAGUGGUGACUUGUUCUUUAUUACUAGUUCUUUAUUAUUAGUUCUUAAGAACCUGUUAUGACAUGGACAGACAUAUGGCCAUCCAGGAAACAGUCUGGUACCUUCCCUGGCAAUCUGUUCACGUGCUGAUUCAAAUGUUGCACUGGGUCUCUUAUUUGCUACAAACCAGGGAUCACUGAAGACAACCCACCUGGCUGAUGUCACCAUUACUCCCAUCAUUUGUUAAGAAACCUUAUGUAAAAAUAACUUGUUAAGAAAGAGAGAGAAUAGAGCAGAAUGGAUCAAAGAUGAAGUCAGGAUGGAGGGAAGAAGGAAAGAAAGGAAGGGAGGGCAAGCAGAAGUGCUCUUAGC